rnacentral:rRNA from 1 species
GACGGAGGAUGCAAGCGUUAUCCGGAAUUAUUGGGCGUAAAGCGUCCGCAGGUGGCUGUUCAAGUCUGCUGUCAAAGCGCAGAGCUUAACUCUGUACAGGCGGUGGAAACUGAAGAGCUAGAGUAUGGUAGGGGUAGAGGGAAUUCCCGGUGUAGCGGUGAAAUGCGUAGAUAUCGGGAAGAACACCCGUGGCUAAGGCGGCUCUCUAGUACGGUACUGACGCUGAGACGCGAAAGCGUGGGGAGCGAACAGG